AGAGGGUUCCUUUAUUAGCAAGAAGGGUUAAGCUAUAAACUUAAUAGCUAUAACUUUUAAGAGUUCGAAUCUCUUAUCUCCUA
rnacentral:tRNA from 1 species